rnacentral:rRNA from 1 species
GGGAUGACACAGUAGGAUAAGCUAAGCACACUGUUGGUUAUGUGUGCCCAAGCAUUGAGGCAGUCAAAGUAGGCAAAUCCGCUUUGAUAAUGCUGGGAUGGGAUGGGGAGCGAAAUUUAGUAGCGAAGUAGCUGAUUUCACACUGUCAAGAAAAGUCUCUAUCGAGGUUAAAGGUACCCGUACCGCAAACCGACACAGGUGGGUGAGGAGAGUAUCCUAAGGCCAGCGAGAGAACUGUUGUUAAGGAACUCGGCAAAAUGACCCCGUAACUUAGGGAUAAGGGGUGCCACCAUCAGGUGGCCGCAGAGAAUAGGCCCAAGCGACUGUUUACCAAAAACAUAGGUUUCUGCUAAGUCGCAAGACGAUGUAUAGGAGCUGACGCCUGCCCGGUGCUGGAAGGUUAAGGGGA